AUUAACCUCGUUUAAACUACACUUCUGUAAAAUUAAAAAAUGUUUUUUAAUCUUUCCAUUAUCAAACUUUCCUCAAAGAGCACAAUAACAUAGGAGGAAGGGGUGAAAUAUCACUCACAAUCAGUAGUUAAUAGGAGUUGAAAAGGCAUAGAGGAAGAUACAGAUGUUAUAAAAAAAACUCAUGCCAAAAUUAUUCUUGAACAAAGAUGUUUCUCCUCUUCGUACCUUAUAAAGGAGCAAAUAUUUUUUGCAACAUCGCGAAACGUGAUACAGGUGUUCGCCAUGCCCUAAGAGGAAUAUUAACUUCAGAUACUCUUGAUACAUGCACGUCCAGGCAGACAUGAUGAAAGACGUGCAAUCUGCCGCCACAUUAAUGCUACUGUCAGAUGGCCAGGUGCUGCUUGACCCGUGUAAAUCGAUCUCGGACUAAAUUGCAUCGUUAGCCACUCCAUCGCGCAACUGCGUUUCGCAGAACGGAUCAUUUCGCUCGAUUUAUUCUUGUAAUAUUAUAGUUUCAACGUAAUCACGCUAUUAAUACAGGUUGACACGAUAAACGACUUGUAGUCACGUUUUUAUAGAAUGCAACAGAUAAAUUAAUGAUACUGUCAUUUUAUAUUGAUAUUUCAAGUGUAAAAUAUGUACAGUGUAAUUCAA